GUGAGGAAUAUUGCGCAAUGGAGGCAACUCUGACGCAGCCAUGCCGCGUGCAGGAAGAAGGCGCUACGCGUUGUAAACUGCUUUUAACCGGGAAGAAACCCCAGGACGUGUCCUGGGUUGACGGUACCGGAGGAAUAAGCACCGGCUAACUUCGUGCCAGCAGCCGCGGUAAUACGAAGGGUGCAAGCAUUAUCCGGAUUCAUUGGGUUUAAAGGGUGCGUAGGCGGAGCGUUAAGUCAGUGGUGAAAUCCUGCAGCUUAACUGUAGACUUGCCAUUGAUACUGGCGCUCUUGAGUGCGCUUGAAGUGGGCGGAAUGUGCCGUGUAGCGGUGAAAUGCUUAGAUAUGGCACAGAACACCAAUUGCGAAGGCAGCUCACUAAGGCGAUACUGACGCUGAGGCACGAAAGCGUGGGGAUCGAACAGGAUUAGAAACCCCUGUAGUCC
rnacentral:rRNA from 1 species